AAUCACUUGAGUGAGUUAUAUGACGGUAAAUACAUUUCAAGUAGGCUGAUAAACUGUAUACUCUUUAACACUGGACGCCAAUUUGUAUUUCGGGUAAUUUUGGAUAUACUUGCAUUUAACUCAUGCCUAUCAAUAUGUCGGAUCCACUGAAUACGACAGCGUUCAAUGUUUCCUCUGGUGAUCAGGAGAUCGAGAGUUGUUUCAUGACAUAUAUCGUUCGUAAGCCGACAACAUCGUAUAUUAUAAACAGCAUAUUUGGUUGCAUCGUGAACGCUAUCUUAGCAAUUCUAGGAACAUUUCUGAAUGCUCUGGUCGUGGCCGUUUUCUGGAAAACUCCGAAAUUACGAAAUAAAGUGGCCUAUUUCAUGAUAAUGCUCUUAUCUUGUAUUGACAUGUGUGUGACAAUAAUUGUCCAUCCGUUUCAUUUGGUCAAUUCGAUAGCUGAGAUUACCCAGACUUCACAGUGCAUUUACAAAAUGGUUUACCAAACGUCAGCAGUUAUGUUAUCAGGGAUGUCAUAUCUUACAUUUUUCGCUAUGAAUAUCGAGAGAUACCUAUCAAUUUGUCGACCAUUUUACCAUAUGAGAAACGUAACGAAAGAGAGAUGUUUCAUACUAUCUGCGUGUCUCUGGCUGAUUUGCAUAGGGACAGGAAUUGCUCCCAUAUUUGGCAUGGACAUUCAAUUUUUUGUCAUGGCCCUUGCAGUGUUUGUUCUAGGAGGAACUUUCUUUAUAUAUAUUUCAAUUUAUAAAGUGGCUAAGAAAGGACGAAAUUCGAAGUUACGUUCAUCAAGUCGUACUGGCCAAGACGCGUUCUCAAUCACAAUAGAGGAAACCACAUCUGCACGUGAAUCACAUGACUCCACUCGGAAAAAGAAAAAAGUCUCAUUUUUCCAUGAUUUACAGCUUGCAAAAAUGUAUGUAGUUGUAGUUUUCUCUACCAUUCUCUUAAAUCUACCAAAUGCACUAGUUUUAGCUUUGUCUAGUGAGCGAGUGGAGUAUUUAGAUGGAGUAGUUCAAGCUAAAAUCUGGACACUAACAUUGGUUGCAAUGAAUUCCACAUUUAAUUCACUUGUUUUCUUCUGGGCCAAUGAUAGACUACGGAGUGAAGGUUGGAAACUGUACAAAAAGUUUUUCAGGCUUUGAGACGAAUUUUGUGUGACAACUUCAAAAUAAUGAACGCAUGAAAAUACUUAGUACUGUCAAAACUAUACAGUAGUCAUACUAAAUUCCGAUAAACUUCCUGAAUUAGGUUCUGGCAUCCAGCGAGAGGUAGGCAUUGUUAUGUAUAUAUCAAGCUGAAACGUCGCUUGAAACAACAUCCGCAUAUCAUGAUAGGAUGUGCAAGGAGUGACUCACAAUAACUGAGUACUUCAAGUGCUAUCAAGCUCUUGACUGAGAACUAUAUACAUCAAUAUAAGAACGGAUACUGAAAUUGUAAGAAUUUUCUACAAAAGAUUCCUUUUCCUAUAUUUUCUACAACAUAUUUACCCUCUGCAGUAUCAACCUCAUAAUAACACUGAUUAGCUCAAAAAUAUUCUGACAUACAGUGGCAAAAAUUAUUCAUAUAGUUUGUACCCAGUUAGUAUAAAACCACUUAUGUUAUGUACUUAAUUAAGUUUAUUUCUUUCAACGAUUAAUAUUGAUUAGGGGCACAUUUUAGUGUAAAAAUUCAGAAUAUUUUGGAGCUAAUUAUUAUUAUUUAAUACGAGGUUGAUAACCAAGGAUUUAAAUUUAAAUCGCACUGUAUGUCUGGGCUACCUAUGCUUGUAUUUUACCUUUGAACGAAACAGACUUGCUUAGUUUUGACGUAAACCAAUGAAAUCCAUGCCAUGCACAGAUCAAUCACGUUAUGCGAAAUCGAUUGCCGAUAGUUUCA
rnacentral:lncRNA from 1 species